rnacentral:rRNA from 1 species
AACGAACGCUGGCGGCAUGCCUAACACAUGCAAGUCGAACGAUACCUUCGGGUCGAUUGGCGCACGGCUGCGUAACGCGUGGGAACCUGCCAUUAGGUUCGGAAUAACUCCCCGAAAGGGGUGCUAAUACCGGAUAAUGUCUUCGGACCAAAGAUUUAUCGCCUUUGGAUGGGCCCGCGUUGGAUGAGCUAGUUGGUAGGGUAAAAGCCUACCAAGGCGACGAUCCAUAGCUGGGCAGAGAGGAAGAUCAGCCACACUGGGGCUGAGACGCGGUCCGGACUCUUGCGGGAGGGAGGAGUGGGGGAUACAGGAAAGAGGGCGGAAGGAUGAAGCAGCACUGCCGCGUGAGUGAUGAAGGCGGUAGGGUAGUAAAGCUAGUUUACCCGGGAUGAUAAUGACAGUACCGGGAGAAUAAGCACCGGCUAACUCCGUG